UACGGAAGGCAGCAGUGGGGAAUAUUGCACAAUGGGCGCAAGCCUGAUGCAGCCAUGCCGCGUGUAUGAAAAAGGCCUUCGGGUUGUAAAGUACUUUCAGUCGUGAGGAAGGUGUUAAGGUUAAUAACCUUAGCAAUUGACGUUAGCGACAGAAGAAGCACCGGCUAACUCCGUGCCAGCAGCCGCGGUAAUACGGAGGGUGCGAGCGUUAAUCGGAAUUACUGGGCGUAAAGGGCACGCAGGCGGUUAAUUAAGUUGGAUGUGAAAUCCCCGGGCUUAACCUGGGAAUGGCAUUCAAGCUGGUUAGCUAGAGUCUUGUAGAGGGGGUAGAAUUCCAUGUGUAGCGGUGAAAUGCGUAGAGAUGUGGAGGAAUACCGGUGGCGAAGGCGGCCCCUGGACAAAGACUGACGCUCAUGUGCGAAAGCGUGGGGAGCAAACAGGGAUUAGAU
rnacentral:rRNA from 1 species